rnacentral:lncRNA from 1 species
AAUAUAGAAUACCUACGCUCCUGCUGAAAAUUUGCAUGACUGGAGUAGAAACUGACUGCAGUAGUAAAGAUAGUGUUGAAAAAGACACACAGAAUGAGAUCUGAUGAACUGUGCUUUGUACAGAAAAUGGGUAAAAGUGAAGAAGUCUUUAAGAAGUCUUGGAAAGCAAUCAUCAUCUCUCUGUUGAGUCUGCUCGGAUGUCUCACAAUGUGAUAAAAAGUGAUAUAAUUUCUGGAUACUCCUGAUAGCUACCUGCAUAGGCAGUGAUCUCCAGGGCAAGGGUCAGGAGGAAUGGAGAGGUA